AAGAUUUUAAGUUAAAUAAAACUAUUAGCCUUCAAAGCUAAAAUUGAAUAAAUUAAUCAAAUCUUA
rnacentral:tRNA from 1 species